CGGGACGGGUGAGUAACGUGUGGGCAACCUGCCCUGCACUGGGGAAUAAUCAUUGGAAACGAUGACUAAUACCGCAUACGGGUUCCUGGGAGGCAUCUUCCGGGGAAGAAAGGAUUUAUUCGGUGCAGGAUGGGCCCGCAUCUGAUUAGCUAGUUGGUGAGAUAACAGCCCACCAAGGCGACGAUCAGUAGCCGACCUGAGAGGGUGACCGGCCACAUUGGGACUGAGACACGGCCCAAACUCCUACGGAAGGCAGCAG
rnacentral:rRNA from 1 species